rnacentral:rRNA from 1 species
UACGUAGGGUGCAAGCGUUAAUCGGAAUUACUGGGCGUAAAGCGUGCGCAGGCGGUUUUGUAAGUUUGUCGUGAAAGCCCCGGGCUCAACCUGGGAAUGGCGAUGAAGACUGCAAGGCUUGAAUCUGGCAGAGGGGGGUAGAAUUCCACGUGUAGCAGUGAAAUGCGUAGAGAUGUGGAGGAACACCGAUGGUGAAGGCAGCCCCCUGGGUCAAGAUUGACGCUCAUGCACGAAAGCGUGGGGAGCAAACAGG